rnacentral:lncRNA from 13 species
UGGCAGCAUAACUAUGAAGAUUAUUUUCACAAAUAGUAGGCAGUCUAAAGCGGUAGUUAACAGAUAACUUAAGGAAUGAUAGUACGCCAGGCGAUGCAAAACUAACUCACCCAUUGUUCGGAUACACAUGCUUGGGCUGCCUAGAAAAUGAGGCUUCCCAGAGGUGGAACAGCUAAGUAACAUACUUGUGCGGUACUUGUAUGAUUAUUGAGUGGUUAAAAUGCAGAUCGUUUUUUGCCCCAAUGCAAAACUCAAAUGCAGUUACAUAUUUUUUUAAGGAACCCUGGCUAUUGGCUACAAUAUGGCAGCAACUAUAAAGAUUAGCCUACAUCGUCACACAAAACGCUGAUUGUUUUUGCUCCAGUGCAAUGUGUUGGGACUGCAUCCUGCUUGUGCAACUGCAAUAUCCGUUACAACUGACAGAGAAGGUUGCACAACCUUCAAUAAAUAUUUUUGUGAACGUUCGUUCAAAUUGCUGCAGGGAUUUUUAUUUCAGCUGUUCAGAAAUAUGAGGCGGAGACAUAGGCUACAUCAUCAUGGUUCAGAACAGGGCCAUUACAGUCACCCUGUCUCUGGAGACACACACACAUGCUCAGUAUUCCAGCCAAUGUUCAAGGAUUCUUCAAAGCAUCAGGAGCCAGAGAAAACCACAGAGGCAGUUCACACUGAGGACAUGUUGCAGUUCACACCGAGGACAACUGGGACUCCUUCCUCUGAGCAGAACCUUGGAAGAAGAAACACUGCAGUGACCACCAUGGAGACCUUUACACCUUUCUUAGCUGCCUACAAUACCUACAAGGAUGUCUGCAGACAAACAAGCCGUUUCAAAGGCAAAAUGCUAGCCCUGAGUCUCAGUGGAACUGAGCCGGUACCGAGAGGCUGCACAUCUCACCUCAACCGUACAGACGGAUGAAGAUCCGGAUGAAGUAAAUAACCACUAAACUGUCUGGCUGGGUAGAAAAUGAAUUGUAUUCUUGGUUCAGCAUUAUUUCUUGUUAUAGUCAGUAUCGAAAUAUAAUUACAGUGGAACACCCACACAGUCACAUUUUAUUGUUACCUAACCCACCAUUACGAUGUGCCCUUUGCCGCCUUGGAAAAAACAACAGCAAAACACCACCUUUGAAAAAAAGGCAGUAAAUAAUUGAAGUCACUGUAUCUGCACAUUUCCACUAAAUCUCUAGCAGCACCUAGAGGUCAGUGAGGCAUUACAUCACCUGGUCACACUGCCUUGGACCAGACAUCAAAUCAAAUCAAAUCAAAUUGUAUUUGUCACAUACACAUGGUUAGCAGAUGUUAAUGCGAGUGUAGCUAAAUGCUUGUGCUUCUAGUUCCGACAAUGCAGUAAUAACCAACGAGUAAUCUAACCUAACAAUUCCACAACUACCACCUUAUACACACAAGUGUAAAGGGAUAAAGAAUAUGUACAUAAAGAUAUAUGAAUAAGUGAUGGUCCAGAACGGCAUAGGCAAUAUGCAGUAGAUGGUAUAGAGUACAGUAUAUACAUAUGAGAUGAGUAAUGUAGGGUAUAUAAACAUAAAGUGGCAUAGUUUAAAGUGGCUAGUGAUACAUGUAUUACAUAAAGAUGGCAAGAUGCAGUAGAUGCAGCAGUUUAAAUGAGUACAGUAUAUACACAUACAUAUGAGAUGAGUAAUGUAGGGUAUGUAAACAUUAUAUUAAGUGGCAUUGUUAAGUGAUUAGUGAUAGAUUUUUACAUACAUUUCCGUCAAUUCCAUUAUUAAAGUGGCUGGAGUUGAGUCAGUAUGUUGGCAGCAGCCACUCAAUGUUAGUGGUGGCUGAUUAACAGUCUGAUGGCCUUGGGAUAGAAGCUGUUUUUCAGUCUCUUGGUCCCUGCAAACACACACACACAUAUGGUAACAUACGUACUAUACAUACACAUGGAUUUAGUACUGUAGACAUGUGA